rnacentral:rRNA from 1 species
UUUGAUCAUGGCUCAGUUGAACGCUGGCGGAUGCUUUACAUGCAGUCGAACGGCAGCACGGACUUCGGUCUGGUGGCAGUGGCGAACGGGUGAGUAAUGUAUCGGAACGUGCCUAGUAGCGGGGAUAACUACGCGAAAGCGUAGCUAAUACCGCAUACGCCCUUCAGGAAACCGGGACCGCCAGACUCCGCACUGUCGACGGCCGAUAUCGGAUUGGCUAGUUGGUGGGGUAACGGCUCACCAAGGCGACGAUCAUGUGGUUUGAGGACGACCAGCCACACUGGGUUGGGGCACUGGCCCAGACUCCUACGGGAGGCAGCGGUGGGGAAUUUUUGGACAAUGGGGGAAACCUGAUCCAGCCAUCCCGCGUGUGCGAUGAAGGCCUUCGGGUUGUAAACACUUUUGGCAGGAAAACGGCACGGGAUAAUACCCCAUGCAACUGACCACCUUGCAGAAUAAGUACCGGCUAACUACGUGCCAGCAGCCGCGGUAAUACGUAGAAGUGCAGCGUUAAUCAGAAUUACUGGGCGUAAAGCGUGCGCAGGCGGUUCGGAAGAUGUAAAUCCCAGAGCUUAACUUUGGAACUGCAUUUUAACUACCGAGCUAGAAGUGUGUCAGAGGGAGGUGGAAUUCCGCGUAUAGCAGUGAAAUGCGUAGAUAUGCGGAGAGACACCAUUGGCGAAAGGCAGCCUCCUGGGAUAACACUGACGCUCCCAUGCACGGCGUGGGGAGCAAACAGGAUUAGAUACCCUGGUAGUCCACGCCCUAAACGGUGGCAUCGCUUAGCUGUUGGGGCCUUCGGGCCUUGGUAGCUAGCUAACGCGUGAGAAGUUGACCGCCUGGGAGUACGGUCGCAAGAUUAAAACUCAAAGGAAUUGACGGGGACCCGCACAAGCGGUGGAUGAUGUGGAUUAGAUGGUAUACGAAAACCUUACCUACCCUUGACAUGUCUGGAAUCCCGAAGAGAUUUGGGAGUGCUCGCAAGAGAAUACGGAACACAAGGUGCUGCAUGGCUGUCGUCAGCUCGUGUCGUGAGAUGUUGGGUUAAAUCCCGCAACGAGCGCAACCCUUGUCAUUGAUUGCUACGAAAGGGCACUCUAAUGAGACUGCCGGUGACAAACCGGAGGAAGGUGAAGGGAUGACGUCAGUCCUCUUUGGCCCUUAUGGGUAGGGCUUCACACGUCAUGCAAUGGUCGGGACGGGGGUCGCUGACGCGAGAGACCAAUCCCAGAAACCCGAUCGUAGUCCAGAUCGCAGUCUGCAACUCGACUGCGUGGAAAUUCAGAUCGCUAGUAAUCGCGGAUCAGCAUGUCGCGGUGAAUACGUUCCGGGUCUUGUACACACCACUACCCGUCACACCAUGGGAGUGGGAUUUACCAGAAGUAGUUAGCCUAACCGUAAGGAGGGCGAUUACCACGGUAGGAUUCAUGACGAAAUUGAAGUCGCUUUCAAGGUA